rnacentral:rRNA from 1 species
AUCCUGGCUCAGGAUGAACGCUGGCGGCAUGCCUAAUACAUGCAAGUCGAACGAGAGGAAGGAAAGCUUGCUUUUCUGAAUCUAGUGGCGAACGGGUGAGUAACACGUAGGUAACCUGCCCAUGUGCCCGGGAUAACUUCUGGAAACGGAUGCUAAAACCGGAUAGGUAGCAGACAAGCAUUUGACUGCUAUUAAAGUGGCUUUGGCCAUGAACAUGGAUGGACCUGCGGUGCAUUAGCUGGUUGGUGAGGUAACGGCCCACCAAGGCGACGAUGCAUAGCCGGCCUGAGAGGGCGGACGGCCACAUUGGGACUGAGACACGGCCCAAACUCCUACGGGAGGCAGCAGUAGGGAAUUUUCGUCAAUGGGGGGAACCCUGAACGAGCAAUGCCGCGUGAGUGAAGAAGGUCUUCGGAUCGUAAAGCUCUGUUGUAAGAGAAAAACGGACUCCAUAGGGAAUGAUGGAGGAGUGAUGGUAUCUUACCAGAAAGCCACGGCUAACUACGUGCCAGCAGCCGCGGUAAUACGUAGGUGGCGAGCGUUAUCCGGAAUGAUUGGGCGUAAAGGGUGCGUAGGUGGCACGAUAAGUCUGGAGUAAAAGGGAGCGGCUCAACCGCUGUUGGCUCUGGAAACUGUCGAGCUAGAGAGCAGGAGAGGGCGAUGGAAUUCCAUGUGUAGCGGUAAAAUGCGUAGAUAUAUGGAGGAACACCAGUGGCGAAGGCGGCCGCCUGGUCUGCAACUGACACUGAAGCACGAAAGCGUGGGGAGCAAAUAGGAUUAGAUACCCUAGUAGUCCACGCCGUAAACGAUGAGAACUAGGUGUUGGGGGAAUAACUCAGUGCCGCAGUUAACGCAGUAAGUUCUCCGCCUGGGGAGUAUGCACGCAAGUGUGAAACUCAAAGGAAUUGACGGGGGCCCGCACAAGCGGUGGAGUAUGUGGUUUAA